CUUCACUACAACUUUGCAUUGAUUUUGAAUUUUUGAUGUGUAGGAUAGUUGGGAGACUUUGAAGUGGUGUCGCUAGGCAUCAUGGAGUCGUCGUUGAAAUACCAACCUUUAAACAUUUAGAAUCUAAUCCCUAACGGGAAACAGUGCAUGGUGGGUAGUUUGACUGGGGUGGUCGCCUCCUAAAGUGUAACGGAGGCUUGCAAAGGUUCCCUCAGUACGGUUGGUAAUCGUACAUAGAGCGUAUUAGUAUAAGGGAGCUUGACUGUGAGACUUACAAGUCGAGCAGGGACGAAAGUCGGCUAAAGUGAUCCGGUGGUUCUGUAUGGAAGGGCCAUCGCUCAAAGGAUAAAAGGUA
rnacentral:rRNA from 1 species